UACGCGUGCAUAGCACGUGUGAUCGGUAAUGAGGAGAUAUAGAAAUCCUCGCCUCCUUGCGCUUUCGCUUCUCCCUCUUCCGUUCUGAUGGUGACGCGAUGGAGGGAGAAGAGCCCCGGGCUCAAAAUCCUGUGGAUUUGGACAUUGGGAACAGCCGCAGUUCUAAUCACCAAUGUUGUGAGGACGAGAUUACAAGACAUGGAGAAGAUACUGAGAGAAGAAGACGCCAUGCGAUCGGAAUCCACCGCCCCUCCUGUUGAGCGGGUUAAGGAUGAAUGAUUUUUUCUUUUGGUAUCAGCUGAAACUGCAUUUUUUGGCGAUGUAUGAGCUUAAAUUGUUUCUCUUCAGAGUAUAAGACUAUAAGCAGCUUGGAGUUGUGUCUUCACUCCUCUUUUUCUUUUUUUUUUAAAUAUAUAUUAUUUGGAACGUAUUUCUGCUCCAUAUUCAGUCAUAAAUUUUUUGCUUCUGCUCGGUUUUAUAUAUGAUUUUUGCAAAAACUGAAAACAUAUGUUUGUAAAUUCGAUUGUGAAAUCGUUGACUUUAUUCUGGAUGUUUUAUCCUAUAUCUUGCUAAAUAUAUUAUCAGCUACAAAAUGAGUGUGAGUGUGUAUUUUUUUAACUGAAGAUGCUAGGUGAAGAUCAAAUUUAUUUCGAGUGUUGUAACUUCUAAUGUUAAUCAAUUCUUCAUAGAAGCCCAAACUAAGGCAGCUUUGGUGCUAAAUAUAAAUGAUCUCAUCUUAUUGCAGCAUAUCUGUGGAAUAACUUGUAACAGUGUUUUAUAUCUUUUCAAUUUUGUAAGCAUCGAGUUCUAGCAUGUCGUGCUGGCCCUAUGUAGAAAAAACACUAUACACAUUACUUUUGGAUUUUUCUCCUGCUAGUCUUUAAUUUUCACACAAUUUGGAUGAUGCACCUUUGACAAUUAAUGGCUAGGAUUAAUUUUGUCAAACCUGAGGACCAAGACUAUUUGACAUAAAGCUCAUAGGCGAUGAGGAUGUGCAACUAAUAGGACCAUUGUACCUGGAAUGAUUUCCUUUCACUGAAUAGUAAAUAAUCUUGGGGAAGUGGGUGCAAAGGAGGAAAAGACAAGAACAUUGAGACAGAUUAGUGAAGAGGUGGUAAUAUAUUUCAGAGUCUGUUGUAAGAUUGGAUUCUAUGUCAUAUUAAGCAUCAGAGUUAUCUACAGUGUAUGAGGUGUGGGUAACCAUGCUGACAACUAACAAUUGUAAAUUUAAAGCUCUGGUAUUAUGGAGAUAAUGAGAUAAGAAUCAAAAAGAAUGUUUUUGUAAUGUAGAAGUUCUCAAUCUAACGUAAUAGGAAUUAAAAUUUCAUACUUAGGACAAAUUAUAGUGGGUGGAAUUCAUUGUUGAAGAGACCAACUCUCUACCAAUUUCUAAAAACUGCAAGUAAAAAAAUUGAUAAGUUUCCUGGUGUCUAAUGUGUACUUGAUUUGGAUAGGUAUCCAACAUGGAUUAUAGGAGCAGGAUGCGACUGUCUAGGUAGCAUAGAGAUAAACAAGUACCAUAGACAUAUCCAUGACCCUGAAACCUGAUGCCUAUUGUUAUUGUUUUACAUUGUAAUUCCUUCACCAUAUGCACAUCUUUUAUCUUCAAAUAGUAUCAAGCCUAAUAAGUAAUAUGGUAAAGUGAAAUUGAAUGUUCUGAUGAAUAUUAAAAUCUGAUCUCUAUUAUGUAACUCAACCAAAAGCCAUUUCUAGACCUAGUAAAAAAGUUUCCCUUUGUAGUCAUGGCUCAGUAUGCAUCACUAAAUUUGUAUCCUUUUCUGCCAAAUUGCUUUUGCACAUUCCUUUUGGGUCAAAUUUCACCAGUGUCCAAUUAUCUAAAUCUUGCAAGAAGCCUGCUUUAUCUCUGAGCAUUCCAUAACUUGUGGGAUCAUAAAUUUUCCAUUUGGAAGGAAUGCCCUUUAGGGAGAUAUUGUUUGCAAAAAUGAAUUUUACAUGGACAUACCCUAGUAUACAUGAAUCAAUAAAUUAGAUAUUAAUUGAUGAAUUAUGUGCAUUUGACUUGGAAAAAUAUUUAAGAUAUAACACCGAGGUUAGGGACUUGGAGGUUCAUUUUUUGUAGGUCUAAGGACAUGGAAAUCCAUUUUCACCUUUUUGUUUGACUUGUCCAAUUUAACAACAUCGUGGUCACCCUUGCGGUCCAUGUGCUACAUUUAAUUAUAUGGAGGCUAUUCUUGCUCUGGAGUUGCCAAAUUGAACAGUAUGGAGGUCAUUUUCUCUUUAGAUUUGCCUAGUUUAACAGAUAUUCCUUCUAAGGAGUAUAUUGUUAUCCCACAAAUUUUAGCACACUUAAGUAUAAGAAAGCCUCCUUUUAGACGUAACUAGUUAGACUUCCAUCAUAAUGGACAUUGUAGGGGAAAGGGACAACUGAAAAAAGAAAUGAGUUUAGAUUGUUUGAUGCAUAUGGUCUCGCACAAGGUCCGCAAUCUCGAUACCGGGUACUGUAUCGGAAUCUUAUCGGUUCAUUACGGUAUGGUACGACACGUUACACCUUUGUAUUGAAAUAAUUCUUUUACUAUUUUUCUUAAUUUUUAUCUCAGUACACUUCAACACAGGUCGGUACACCUCGAUAUAAGCCAGUACGUACCUCGGUACGGGGCAGUAUGGGCUUGUACCGGCUUGAAAUUAAGUUUUGUACCGAUUUUUCCUCAGUACGUUACAGUACGUUACGGGGUGGUACGGCAGACCAUGAUCUUGUAUAAUCACGAGUCACUUUUCCGACAAAUUCGUAAUAUUUAUUGAGAGUGUUCAUUUCACAUACGUUGUACAGAUUUAACUUGAUAUGUUUUGAAGACAAAGCAGAUUGUGCUUAUAAAAGAGAUAGUGAUUUCAUUCUCCUAGGUAUUUAGUUAUUGAUUUCAUUCUCCUAUGUAUUUUCAGCUACAAAACGGUGGACAUUCCUGUUUAAAGGAUCUAUGGACGAUUGGAAACUGUGUCCAACAUUUAUUAUUCAGAGAGCAGGGAUGUCUACCUAAGCCUCUGGUAUUUGGAAAACACAGAGUUACCAAUAUUGAGGAUGCAUUAUGAUGCUACCCUCCAGCCUCUAGAUGAAAAGACUCACCUUUGCUGCUCCUCAUCCCCUAAUAUUGUUUUCUAUCUCUGCUAUAUAAUAUCUAAAAUAUCUUGUGGAAAGCCUCUAUCAGUGAUUGGGAGUGAUAAUUCUUUUGCUAUUAAUCACCAUUAGAACAAAAUUCUUGUCAUUUUUGGAUUCCUUUUGAAUUGGCUCUGAAAUAUCAAUAUCCAACAAUAUGCAUCACCAUUCUGCAUAUCGUGCUUUUGUGAUGGGGAGGGGACCUCCUUGACAGCCUUUUUGUUAUAUUAGCUAUGCUAGUUUACCAUUUCCCUGAAAUAUCCUGAUGGACCCAAUAACAUAGGGUUAGAAACCUUUGUGAUGGAUGAUAAAUGGUCAAAGGGUAUCUCGGGUUUAUGACCUUUAUGUCCUUAAACUGGGCAUGAUGGACCUCAAUGUCCCUAAACAAGAGACCUAUCUUAUCGUACAUUCUAUAAUUUGUAUGCCAAAAAUUUAAAAACCAAUGGAUUAGUAUGGUAUCAUAUCUCUUUGACAUGAUCGGCAUUGCUAUGGGUAUCGGAUUGACCAUCCAUACUAGUAUACAUCAAUUGUACUAGUUCGGACUGGUGCAUAUUAAUGAGUAUCGUACUAAUUGUAUUGGUUGGUACUGAUGGUUUUUUAUUCUUGUUUAUGCUACCCGUUUCAGUAUGUACUAUCAAUACUGAUACUAUUCCAAUAUCAUACCUUUCCAAUAGAAAAAUGGUACAUGGUUUAUUACCAAUAUUUAAAACCUGUUUAAUGUUCAAAUCAAAUGUACAUAAUUUAUUCAUUUGUAUUCAUUUAUCAUUUCAUGUAUAUCAAGAUUUUAAAUACUGAUGAGAUGGCAGGGCGUCCCACCAUCUCGAGUGUUGGGACGGGGAACUGUCCUGAGUGUUUCGAUGAUUAUCCCUUGUGUUAGAAUGCGAGGCAUCCCAUUCCAUGGAGGAACUGAGAGGGGCCAUCCCACGGUAUUUAAAAUGUUGAUGUAUAAACAUUCUGUUUGUCAGGUCAUAUAAUUUUCAGUAAGUAAUUUAAUGAAAAAAGUAAUGUUAUUUUUUUAUUCAAGUUCUCUAGCACUUUAUUGAGAUCUUUGCAUUCUCAAGGUCAAUUAAUGAUAGAUUCUUGAGUUUACUGGAAUCCAUGGACUCAGGCAAACAAAAGACUAUUUUGUUUUUUUCAUCUAAGCGUCUCUUAUCUCCAAGAGUUGUUUCUCCCAAGGGGUAGGUUCAUAAUCCCCUAGCUAUGUCUUUUUACCAAAUUCCAACUAUCCUACCCUUAACUUAUUAAAUGCAAUUUUAGUCUUUAGUUUUCCACUCCUUUUCUUUCCUUGCCUGCUGUAUGGAUAUUUGAAUGUUGCAGCUUAAGGUUUCUGUUUAUGCUUCUGCAUCCUUCAUAACCUUUUUAAUCUUUUGAAGUAGUAAAUUUUAAAACAGGGAUUUUUCCCCAUUGUCUGCCUUUUGGAUGUUAAUCUACUAUUUUGAAAUUUAUCAAUGCGAACCAUUGUAUACUUAUAUAUUUUCAACUAUUAUUUGGUGGCUUAUUUUGAGAUUUUCUCCAUGAGUUCUGCAAGUUUAGAUCUCACAAAUUUUGGUCAAAGUUGUUUUUUUUUUCCCUGAAGUAUUUGCCAAUUACCUUGACUGUGAAGUCAUAGAGUUUUAGCAGAAGACAUUUGGCAUAUCUUAUUAAUUUAGAUUGUUAUAUUUGUAAUCUAAAUUGUAAUUAUGGGAAUUCCAAAUUUCUGCCAGAGUAGCAGAGACCACAAUUUGAUUUUCAACAUUUGUUUCCCACCUCGUAAAUUGUUAUUACAAUUCUUAGAUGGAUCUGCAACAUGGACCUUAUAUUGCUUCUGGUGACAGGAAUGUACAGAUACAGUAAAAUUGUUAGAGAUUAUGAAAUAGUUGACCCUUUGAGAAUUUCAUAUUAAGAAUUUUUUUCUGUUCAUGGUACUGUGUGUCCUCAGGCACAAUAGAACCUAGAAAAUGAGUAACAAGACUACCAAACUAGUGUAUUCUGACUAGCUGAUCUUAAUCUAGUAGGUUGGGCAAUUUGGCUUCGAUAUAUCUAUAUUGAAGUCGGACUUUAGUUAGUAUCUUGUGGUCCCAGAUGACCUCUUGAACUCUAACAUAUAUGUGGAGAAACAGUUAAGGUCGUGGACUUCAAAUAAAGUCCAACAUAUAUCUAUAUUGUAGUCAGACUUUAGUUGGUAUUCUUGUGGUCCCAGAUGACCUCUUGAACGCUUGCCAUAUAUGUGGAGAAAAAGUCAACGUCAUGGACUUCAAAUAAGAACCUGAUGAUAGCAACUCUGCCUUGCAUCAUUUCUUUUUAGAAUGGCUGAUUACCCUGCUCUUCUGGUUUUCUGUUGCUUGGAGGACAUGGAAGCUGUAGCUUUCAUCUUAAUACCUGGUGAGGGACCAGGAAGUUUUUACUAUUUUAUAUUUUGAAUUCAUUUAGACAUUACAGGACAAUUUUAAAGUCUACGUUCAGUCAUCACGUUUCUGACAGCUGUUUACUUAGUAACAUAAUGUCUAGUAAGAUCACAUAGUUCUCGCAUAUGGUGAGAAGGAAAUAAACCAGCAUGCUGUCUUUGUGAAACAAUUUGACUUCCUGCAGCAAGAUGUCUCAACUUGAUAGAUUGGGAGAACAACUAGCAAUUUUCAAAGUUAUUAGAGGGAUGGUAUGGGAAUCCAUCCCGUGUACUCUCAACUAAAGUCAAUCCGUUAAAAAGAUAUCAACCCCUUGAAACACAACCAGAAUGGGGUUUUCCUUUUGGGGUUUUGUUGAUACGUUUUAAGUUUUCAUUGCAGGUAUUCACAUAUAAACCUGAAAUUUCCUGUUUUUGGUAAAUAAAAUAUAAGCACUUUUUGAAGAAUACUAGUUAUAAACUUAUAAUACACAAGCACAAACACGUCCUCUGAGCUUCUUUUUUUUUUUUUGUUGAUGGCAAGUUUCCACAGAGCUUGAGCUUGCUAGCGAGCAUAACUGAGCUAGCAACCAUUUCUUUCUAAUUUUUUGACUAUUACAUUAUUAUAAGUACUUUUUUGAGGGAAGAUUGGGUGAAGCCUUUAUCACAUCCCACUUAAUUUUUAUUGGACAUGCUUUUUCUAUGAAAAAUCAAGGGUUUAUUAACCGGAGAGUCAUACUAUUGACCUAAACUGUCCAUGACUUAGUUAAGGCCAGCUUGGUGCUGCCCAAGCUUGACUUGUUAACUAACUUUGAGUUUUGUUAGUUUUCUUAGUUAACAAACCAAAAUGAGCUUCUAAGGAAAAAAACCCCAGCUUCUUGCUUAAUCAAGUUCAAGCUGUUUGUAAGCUGCUCCGCCAUUUGGCAGCCCUAUAUUACAUAGAAUACUAGGGCUUUUUUUUCAUUUUCAAGCUUCUGAGGCAUGAACAGUAGUUCCACUCAUUUCAUCCCUAUUCCUAGAAGCAGCUGCAGGCCAUGCACUAGUGCACAAUUAACUGAAGCUAAUAACUCUGUGACCUUAAUCUUCUUGCAGGAAAUUAUUGCACAUGUAAUUUUUUUAACCUUCUACUAAUUGCGAUCUGCUUAGAUGGUGGGUUUUAGCGCAAUGGUAAAGUUGGUCUAUGACUUCUGAUUCUCUCUAUAUUCUGUACAUUAUUGGGAUGCACUUUUUUCUCGCUACUUGUCAUUAGCUUCUCAUUGAUUGAUAUUGUCAUUGAGAAGUUUUAGUGGAUUUGAAGAGCUAGUUGGCUACCUAUCUGAGGCUAUCUCAGCUUUUGUAAAGGAGCACUGCUAUUUUAACAUAGAAAUCUCAUUUGAGAAUGUGAUGCAUAGUCACCCAUCUCCAUAUGCUAAAAUGAGCAGUGCGACCAUAAUAUAGAAAAUUUGACAGUAACUGUGAUAUAGCUGAUAUUCAAUUUUCCUAGUGCAACAAAAUAGGAGCAAUAGGAAAAAUCAUACAUUAAUUGCAUGGCUUAUUUUUGUAUUACUUUUUGGUGUGCCAAAGCCCUCUAGCUGGCAGGUAAGGUCUCUGAGAGAUCGUACAAGAGUUUGAACAAAUAACUAUAGAUCAACUAGUUUCAGGCUAUUUUUGCAGGAAAAAUCAUCAAUGAUAUCCUAUAACUAGGUGGUAAACUGCUGAAGAUGAUUUUUUACUUUAACUAUUUUCUCUGCUGCUGCCAAAAAGAAAAUCUAUUUCCUCUACAAAUGGGAAAAUGGUUAUUCUGUUGUACCCAUGGUUCACUAGACAUAGGCAACCUUGAUGUAGGAAUUUAAGCCUCUAAUUAGUUUGGACCUGUCACCAGACCCCAAGUCGAGGCAAAAGUAGGUAAGCCUCUUGUUUUGGCUUGAUAGCUGUAGCCCGUGGUACCUCUACUCAUAGAUUGAAGCAUCAAUAUAGCAUGAUUGCCACCAGCACCUUCAUCGACAUCCAUAUCUCAGCCCUGCUAAUUUCCUGAAACAUUUAUGUUCUUGUUGAUGUCUCAUAGAUCUAAGUAAGAUAUCAUUUACAUUUCUUUCAUACUGGGGCCAUGUCUCAGUAGAACUUAUUGCAGCCACAACAGAAGCAACACAGGCUCUCAUCCAUGAAGGGUAAUUUUGGAAUCGAAACACUAGAUCUAACCUGAAUCUACCUCUAAUACGAAUCUUGUAGUUCCCUGACCAGGUUUGUUUUUCAAACCCUUAAUUAAACACUUUUCCUAACAGAUUAGAAAAUCAUUAGUCUAUCUCUACUUCAAUUUCCUUGCCUGCGAGAACUAUCCUUCAUAGUGACCUAAUUUUGAAAUGGGCAGUGAAAGGAUCUCCUGUUGCUUGAUUUGAUAAGUCCAACAAGACCAACUCUGUUGACCACAAAUGCUGCCUUCCAUAAUGCCAGAUCACUGCAGGAUGCAUCACAUCGAAAAGUUCUGAUCAGCUGGACACUCUUGGAACGAACUUUAGCAAAACUUCUGUGAAGUGUCAUUCUGUACAUUUACUAUAUCUUGUGCAUCAAAUAAAUGUCAUAUUCCAGAAGCUUUGUCAGUUAAUCAGCUUCAGCUACAUUGUUGCACUCAAGGGUCUUCACCUCCAGUCUUUCUGAGUUGAUCUACAGCAUCAGAUGAACUUUACAUGGUUGACAGGAUCAGUUUGUGCUGCCUAUGAUGAUGCCCAACUGUCUUUAGGUAACAAAAAGAACCACAUGCAAAAACUGCGUGAGAUUCCACUGGAUACUCGAGAUGUCUUAAUAGCAAAUCACCAUUUCUGCUGAGGCCGCACUGAUGGGCUGCUGAGUUUUCUUCAAGUACCAAAUGAUGCUUUCUGUAUCAAUAUAUUGAUAUUAUGAUCUCUGAGUAAAUCACAAGCAUGAAAGGUUCGUUGUACUCGUGUAAUCUCACUGUAGGAUGUAAUCUAAUAAGGCACUUAUCCAAGGAAGUGUUUAUGGCAGCACAUACUUACAAAGAUACCUACUCCUAAAGUUGCACUAAAGUAACUCAAGGAGGAUGACAUCAGUAAGAAGGUGAUGAUCUACAUGUGAUAACAUCAGAAUUCAAUGACCAUUCUCAAGCAUACCCAUCAAAAGAUACAUUCCACGACGCCUACAGGGUGAUCACUGUCAGGCCAAAACAGCAACUUACAAAAUUGAUGAGCUCAAACAGUAACUUCUCUAUGUUGGUCACAAUGGAAUAACUGUGAGAGGAUAAAACCAUCGAAUUCCAGGGAUUUAAAUAGAUCAUAGAAUCAAGUACUAAACAAGCUAUAUCAAAAAGCGAGUGAAAUAUGGAAGCACGAGCCCCUUGAGAAAUGCUUAACAUGAUGCAGAGAAGUGAAUUGAAGAUGUAUAAUACCGAAUUCACAAUUGCAAGCAGCUACAACAAUUUGCAUCAGCCUAGGGUGAAGUAUAUGACAGGUUGUUGAAGAAAUUACUUGAAUUUCUCCACAAGUAACUCUUGAAGAGCACUUCUU